ACGAACGCUGGCGGCAGGCUUAAUACAUGCAAGUCGAACGCUCACUUCGGUGAGAGUGGCAGACGGGUGAGUAACACGUGGGAACCUACCUAGGGGUACGGAAUAACUCAGGGAAACUUGAGCUAAUACCGUAUACGACCUUCGGGUGAAAGAUUUAUCGCCCCUAGAUGGGCCCGCGUUGGAUUAGCUAGUUGGUGGGGUAAAAGCUCACCAAGGCGACGAUCCAUAGCUGGUCUGAGAGGAUGAUCAGCCACACUGGGACUGAGACACGGCCCAGACUCCUACGGGAGGCAGCAGUAGGGAAUCUUGGACAAUGGGCGAAAGCCUGAUCCAGCCAUGCCGCGUGUGUGAUGAAGGCCCUAGGGUUGUAAAGCACUUUCGCCAGGGGAAGAUAAUGACGGUACCUGGAUAAGAAGCCCCGGCUAACUUCGUGCCAGCAGCCGCGGUAAUACGAAGGGGGCUAGCGUUGUUCGGAAUUACUGGGCGUAAAGCGCACGUANGCGGUUUUCCAAGUUGGAGGUGAAAUCCCCGGGCUUAACCUGGGAACUGCCCCCAAAACUGGAAGGCUAGAGUCCGAGAGAGGUGAGUGGAAUUUCCANUGUAGAGGUGAAAUUCGUAGAUAUUGGAAAGAACACCAGUGGCGAAGGCGGCUCACUGGCUCGGUACUGACGCUGA
rnacentral:rRNA from 1 species